rnacentral:rRNA from 1 species
CCCUAGUAGCGGCGAGCGAAGCGGGAAGAGCUCAAAUUUAUAAUCUGGCACCUUCGGUGUCCGAGUUGUAAUCUCUAGAAGUGUUUUCCGCGUUGGACCGCACACAAGUCUGUUGGAAUACAGCGGCAUAGUGGUGAAACCCCCGUAUAUGGUGCGGACGCCCAGCGCUUUGUGAUACACUUUCAAUGAGUCGAGUUGUUUGGGAAUGCAGCUCAAAUUGGGUGGUAAAUUCCAUCUAAAGCUAAAUAUUGGCGAGAGACCGAUAGCGAACAAGUACCGUGAGGGAAAGAUGAAAAGCACUUUGGAAAGAGAGUUAACAGUACGUGAAAUUGUUGGAAGGGAAACGCUUGAAGUCAGACUUGCUUGCCGGAGCUUGCUUCGGUUUGCAGGCCAGCAUCAGUUUUCCGGGGUGGAUAAUGACGGUUUGAAGGUAGCAGUCUCGGCUGUGUUAUAGCUUUCCGUUGGAUACAUCCUGGGGGACUGAGGAACGCAGCGUGCUUUUUGCGAAAGACUCGUCUUUUCACGCUUAGGAUGCUG